GACGAACGCUGGCGGCGUGCUUAACACAUGCAAGUCGAACGGAAAGGCCCUGCUUUUGUGGGGUGCUCGAGUGGCGAACGGGUGAGUAACACGUGAGUAACCUGCCCUUGACUUUGGGAUAACUUCAGGAAACUGGGGCUAAUACCGGAUAGGAGCUCCUGCUGCAUGGUGGGGGUUGGAAAGUUUCGGCGGUUGGGGAUGGACUCGCGGCUUAUCAGCUUGUUGGUGGGGUAGUGGCUUACCAAGGCUUUGACGGGUAGCCGGCCUGGGAGGGUGACCGGCGACAUUGGGACUGCGGUAGGGCGCAGAGGCCUAUGGGAGGCAGCAGUGGGGAGUAUUGCACAGUGGGCGGAAGCCUGAUGCAGCAACGCCGGGUGCGGGAUGACGGCCUGCGGGGUGUAAACCGCUGUAGCCUGUGACGAAGCGGGAGUGACGGUAAUGGGUAAAGAAGCACCGGCUAACUACGUG
rnacentral:rRNA from 1 species